AUUGAACGCUGGCGGCAGGCCUAACACAUGCAAGUCGAACGAGUGGCGGACGGGUGAGUAAUGUCUGGGAAACUGCCUGAUGGAGGGGGAUAACUACUGGAAACGGUAGCUAAUACCGCAUACCAUCAGAUGUGCCCAGAUGGGAUUAGCUUGUUGGUGGGGUAACGGCUCACCAAGGCGACGAUCCCUACCUGGUCUGAGAGGAUGACCAGCCAAACUGGACCUGAGAAACGGUCCAGCCUCCUACGGGGGUAAGAGGUGGGGAAUAUUGCAAAAUGGGCGCAAUCCUGAUGCAGCCAUGCCGCGUGUAUGAAGAGGGCCUUCGGGUUGUAAGGUACUUUCAGCGGGGAGGCGUUACCCGCAGAAGAAGCACCGGCUAACUCCGUGCCAGCAGCCGCGGUAAUAC
rnacentral:rRNA from 1 species